AUCUGUGGGUUAGCAAUCAACAAAUAAAUAAUAAUAAUAAUAAUAAUAAUAAUAUUAUUAUUAUUAUUAUUAUUAUUAUUUAAGUCUCUGGCAGUUACUCGCAUAACAAAUUUUGCUCCUACUUUUAGGGUUUUUGUGGUCUGUAAAACCCCCGCUGCCGGCCUUUUCCCGUCUCUUCCUCUCGCCGUGGCCGCUGUCGCCGCUAGGUCCGUCCUCUGGUCGGCGUCGCUCCAGGGUGGGGCGCCGCCCAAGCCGUUGCGGCCUCGCGCCUGCCCUCCGCUUCUCUGCCUCCCUAAACCGAGGCCCGCUGCCGCCGCUCGUUUCCUCAGGUCUCCCGUGGAGGCGAGCUUCUGCGUGGAGUCGCUCAUGCCGAUGCGACGGCCUCGGCUCUGAUGACCUCGAUCCUCAAUGUUUCGCUCGGGGGAUACGGGUGGCUGUCCCAAGCGUGGAUAAAGCGGAGGUGGGUAGAGCGAAAGUAGGCAACAAAGGGCGCUAGUGAUGGGUAGAGCGAAGGAUGGCCGCAAUGGAGAGGUGCGACCCAUGGCCAAAGAAGAGGAGCACCUGAAUGAGGCUGAGAUAGGGUACUCAUUUGUAAGGUGGUGGGUGGUGGCGUGGAGGAUGACUAGUUGGGUGACAUAAGAGAGAGGGGAACGAGGCGAUUGCUAUGGCUACGGCCUUAGCCAAGGGAGGGGAACAAGGUUGUCAUCUACAGGCAGCAAAGGUGGGUAACAAGGUAGUCGCCUACGGGCGAUGCUACGCAGAGCCAACAGGAGAGGAGGUUCAACGAGUGAAAGGCGGGAACCGUUGUUGAAGGAGAGCAGCGCUUGGAUGUGAUGGGGAUGGGGGCUCGUCAACAGGGUGGUGCGGAGGAUGACCAACUGAGCGAUUGAAGAGGGGGACAAGGCAAUCGCUCACGAGCGAUGUUGCAUAGAAGCAACGAGGAAGAAGAGGGGAAGAGAAGGGGAAAGAGAGAGAAGGGGGAGGAGGUUUGACGAACGGUGAUGACAAACACAAUUGGUAAAGGGCUAAGGGGUUUUUUUCAUCAAAUUGAUAAAACAAAAUAUCCUAAAAUAUCACACACACACCUAUAUAUACACGUAUACGAACACACACAAUAAACAAUUAUUAAGUUGUUUAGGCGACAUCAUUUGAUGCACAUUAUUUGAGAAUUUCAACACUAGAUCCUAUAUUAAGACUGAAAGGGAGGAUAAAUGCUCGAAAAAAAAGGGGGAAAGAAACAGAUUGGCAAAUCGAAACUACUGUAUCUCGGUGAGGUGUCUCGAUGCAUCAACUAUGUGGGAGGAUGAUUCGAGCCGGAUGUGUUAAG